rnacentral:rRNA from 1 species
GACGAACGCUGGCGGCGUGCUUAACACAUGCAAGUCGAACGAAGAGCGAUGGAAGCUUGCUUCUAUCAAUCUUAGUGGCGAACGGGUGAGUAACGCGUAAUCAACCUGCCCUUCAGAGGGGGACAACAGUUGGAAACGACUGCUAAUACCGCAUACGAUCUGACCUCGGCAUCGAGGAUAGAUGAAAGGUGGCCUCUACAUGUAAGCUAUCACUGAAGGAGGGGAUUGCGUCUGAUUAGCUAGUUGGAGGGGUAACGGCCCACCAAGGCGAUGAUCAGUAGCCGGUCUGAGAGGAUGAACGGCCACAUUGGGACUGAGACACGGCCCAGACUCCUACGGGAGGCAGCAGUGGGGAAUCUUCCGCAAUGGACGAAAGUCUGACGGAGCAACGCCGCGGGAGUGAUGACGGCCGUCGGGUUGUAAAGCUCUGUUAAUCGGGACGAAAGGCCUUUUUGCGAAUAGUGAGAAGGAUUGACGGUACCGGAAUAGAAAGCCACGGCUAACUACGUG